rnacentral:rRNA from 1 species
AACGAACGCUGGCGGCAUGCCUAACACAUGCAAGUCGAACGAGACCUUCGGGUCUAGUGGCGCACGGGUGCGUAACGCGUGGGAACCUGCCCUUAGGUUCGGAAUAACUCCCCGAAGGGGGUGCUAAUACCGGAUAAUGUCUUCGGACCAAAGAUUUAUCGCCUUUGGAUGGGCCCGCGUUGGAUUAGCUAGUUGGUAGGGUAAAAGCCUACCAAGGCGACGAUCCAUAGCUGGUCUGAGAGGAUGAUCAGCCACACUGGGACUGAGACACGGCCCAGACUCCUACGGGAGGCAGCAGUGGGGAAUAUUGGACAAUGGGCGAAAGCCUGAUCCAGCAAUGCCGCGUGAGUGAUGAAGGCCUUAGGGUUGUAAAGCUCUUUUACCCGGGAUGAUAAUGACAGUACCGGGAGAAUAAGCUCCGGCUAACUCCGUGC